CCCUUAGAUGUUCUGGGCCGCACACGCGCUACACUGAAGGAGGCAGCGUGUACUCCUGGAUCGAAAGAUUUGGGUAACCCGCGAAUCUCCUUCGUGCUAGGGAUUGAGGUUUGCAAUUAUCCUUCAUGAACGAGGAAUUCCCAGUAAGUGCAAGUCAUAAGCUUGCGCUGACUACGUCCCUGCCCUUUGUACACACCGCCCGUCGCUACUACCGAUUGAAUGAUUUAGUGAGGAAUUCGGACUGGGACCGAUGCGGCUUUCGGGCUGCGUCGGUAUUCUGGAAAGAUGUCCAAACUGUAUCAUUUAGAGGAAGUAAAAGUCGUAACA
rnacentral:rRNA from 1 species